AAGUCGUAACAAGGUUUCCGUAGGUGAACCUGCGGAAGGAUCAUUACCAAAUCCAAAUUUACCCAACCCCGUGUGAACUAUUGUUUUUAGUUUGUCUUUGGGAAAAAAUAUUUUUUAAAGAAAGCAAUUGUUUUGUUUAACUGAUAUUUUUUCCCAAAAGAAUCCAGCUCGUUUGGAUUCUUAAAACCCUUUAAUAAACCACUUGAAUCAUUGUUGGAAUUUUCUUUUAUAAUUUAUAAAUAAAAGACAACUUUUAACGGCGGAUCUCUUGGCUCGU
rnacentral:misc_RNA from 1 species